UUUCAUCCUCUACCAAAAAUUAGAGGGAAGAAAAAAAAAAAAAAUCUUCGUCUCCCCCAUCCAAAACCAAAACCCUAACCCUAACCCUAUCAUCAAAUCAAGAGAGAGAGAGAGCAGCGACUCCGAGAUCGAUGAACUUCAAUGCUUGGUUAUCUCGAUGUUAUCGCCAUUGCUGAGCUCGCUGAUUACGGGCUAUGCAUAAAUACUGUUCGAGGGGUCUGAAUGGAAGAACUUUACCUCCUUAUAGUGGAUGGUGCCGAGGAAACCACAAGCGCUGGCCGAGCAAAAGAAUAUGUUCGGAAUCCUAAACUCUGCUGUACUUUCAAGAGUGAAGCUGGCACAAUUAUCAGAGACAACGCAGGUAAGUGGAGGCAC